UACGUAGGGGGCGAGCGUUGUCCGGAAUCAUUGGGCGUAAAGCGCGUGUAGGCGGCUCGUUAAGUCCGGUGUGAAACCUUGGGGCUCAACCCUCGGAUGCCGGUGGAUACUGUCGGGCUUGAGUACGGAAGAGGCGAGUGGAAUUCCUGGUGUAGCGGUGAAAUGCGCAGAUAUCAGGAGGAACACCAAUUGCGAAGGCAGCUCGCUGGGACGUUACUGACGCUGAGACGCGAAAGCGUGGGGAGCAAACAGG
rnacentral:rRNA from 1 species